CAGCGGUCUGAUCCGGUGGGGCCCGGCCCGGCAAAGGGGGAGCGGCACGUGCGGCACAGGGGCCUCGGCGGGCGGUGGGAGCAGCCUGUGGCACUUGGGCGUGCGGGGAAAGCCGGGUUCAAGACCGCAGAUUGCUCUCUCAGUUCCAGUUUUCAUGGCCUCACUGCGCCUGUCACUCAGGUUCAUGCAUUCAGACUUCAUGGGCCCAUGUUAUAUUCAGAACAGAGGCUCCGUUGAGCUAGGGUCUGAAAAGCCAACUUUGCCAAGUCUACUUCAGAUCAGAGAGUGGUGGAGACAAUGCAUCCGAUGAAUCUUCUCUAUCUAGCUUCAUUCCAUGGGGUUUCACCUCUCUUCCUUAAUCUGUUUCCUUGAUGCAUAGUCUAGCAAAUGUUGCACCACUUCCUCCCCCUCCCUGUCCCACCCCAGAUUCUGACUCCCUGGCCCAUUGUCCCUCGCCACUUCUAAAGUGUCAGAUAAUGCUAGACCUGCCCUAAAUCUCAGUCAUGGGAAGUGGUGAAACCCAGGAAUGAAUUAAUAGCAGUUUUUAAAAUGUCCCUGCUAGUAAUGAAAUAUUUUGUAGUGUGUGCUUCAGUAUAACAUUUAAAAUCUCAAAGUGGCUAAUGAAAAGGACUGGAAGUGAAAAUGUGACCUGCAUUCUUCAGAGGUAAAAAUCUAUUCCUCUCUUUCACCAAUUCUCCUAUUUCGAUGACUGCAACAAAGGAUUAUCCUACUAACAGCUUAUUAGUCUCUUGAUUUGUGGCAUAGAUUGGGGUCCCUAACUUUUUGAACUUUUUGGCUGCAUAAGCCCUUAGUUGCAAAAUGGGGUUGCCUACACUUAAAACGCUGCAGCAGCAUAGUUGCAUCCCUGCAGGGAAGACGCUAACUUCAAAGACAGGAAGGUUUCUCCUGUAGGUGUAGGUAUUUCACCUCCCUGAGAGAGGGCAGCUAGGUCCACAGGAGAAUUCUCCCGUUAACCUAGUGCUGUCUACGUCGAGGGUCAGGUAGGUUUAACUGUGUCACUCAGACAUGAUUUUUCACACCCAUGAGCAAUGUAGUUAUAUUGACCUAAUUUCCUAGCACAGACCUGCCCUACUGUUUCCUGUGACUCCAGACAGCAACAAAACAACUUAGUUACCAACGAGUUUACACAUUAAGUAUGUUUAGUGCACUCUAAUGUGACACAUGCACUUGAAUGUUGCGACAUAGCUUCUUGAAGUCCAGCUGUGUGAUAGAAAUUGCACAUCUAAUCUCCGAUGUGACACCAAUGGUAGAUUGAUACCAAAACUUGAUGGAUAGAAGUGUGCUGAAUUCAACUUCACACAAAUUUGUGCUGGCAGAUGAUACCGUCAGUAUCAAGGUGCAUGUUGCUGCAUGUUGAGAGUGCAGGAUAUUCAUUCUUGACAGUGAACCGGAACUAGGAGAGAAAGUUGAGCAUAAGUUUGAUCACAGGAAAUUUCAAUGAGCUGUUCAGUUUCAGUUGCUGGCAAAUCCAUGGCAUCAGGCUUAAACUGAAAUGGGUUUUGCACCCAGUCAUAGUCUCACAUCUAUGUCCUAGUCCAGUGCCUUAACCACAAGACUAUUCUUCCUCCCCAGUGUAUGAAGCUUUUAUCUAUAGGACCUUCACAAAAGUUUCCUAACAACAAUACACAAAUUUAACUCUGUGAUUGCAGACUUUCAAGAUCAAAAGCUAGAGAGUUAAUGCUACUGCAGCUUUCAUUUCUGCUUUGUUCAAAAGCAAUAUUGUCAAAUCAAAGCAUUCAAUAAAUUUAAGAAUUAACCCUCA